rnacentral:snoRNA from 1 species
AUGUUAUGAUGAACACAUUAUUUAAACAGUUAUCCCUGUCAUAAAAAUAAUUGAUGAUUAAUUCAGCUGACA